rnacentral:lncRNA from 1 species
GCAUUAGUUCUCGUAAGUUAGGAGAGUCUUUGAGGAACCGGACAAGGAGAUUCGAUGAAUACUCUUUCCCUACAUAUAGCGUUAGAUGCUCAAGGUGGUUGAAGAUAAAACCGUCACCAUAACCAACCUGCGGAUGACAAAAAAGUAUUAACAUUAAAAAUGAGAUUAACGACUAGCAGUUGAUAGAUUGAAAUUGAUUACCUUAGAGGAUAUUGUAAGCCGCUUGACAGAUGUGAUUGAUCCGAUGAGACUCUUGAUAUCAGCGAAUGUAACAAUGACAUAUGCUUCCAUCAGCUUAGGCAUAUUCUCAAUCAAAUAGGAGCUGCUAUUACUACGAUCCGCAAGUGUGAAAUACUCUAAAGAAGGAGUAUCUAUGAAAAACUCACAAUUAUACCAUAUAUAGAGUGAUAAACGAUGCAAAGAUGGGACAAUAACAGUAAGCUUUUCCAUAUUUUCAUGAUAAUAUAAAGCUACCAACAGAUCUUCCAGAACGGGGCAAUUAGAUAGAAGCCGCUGAAGAGAUGCCUCAUUGAAGAAUAUCACAUCUUUAAGUUCCAAAGUUUUCAAAGAGGGAAGAGAAACCAUUCGAGGAACAUCCAAGAGAAUCCCACCAUCAAGUUUCAAGAACACGAGCGACUUGCAGGUAUACAAGCUACUUGGCAAUAUGUUUUGCUUCUCCUCAUAAUGAGAACUAUAAAUCUUCAGCUCACGUAUGUAGCGAGAAACAACUACUAAAACCCACAUUUUGAUAGCUUCAGGUUUUCUAAUUUGAAUCACUUAACACAAGACGGAAGCUUUCUAUAACCGGAGCUCUAUGUAAUGGCAGAUUUCUAUCAAGAAAACACUGUAAACUCUUGAAAUCAGACUCUGAAUAAUGUUUAUUACCAAACUCAAGUUUUACAAGGACUGCAACAAUUGUAUCUGAUGCAUGUUUGGUUUCAGAACUCGAGAUGAUAAAGGAGUUGACACGUUCUUCCCGAGCUUCAACAACAUGCGAGCUUAACUUUUAAUGAGGUUUUGAAUCAUUAGAUGUUUUCAUUGAUAUAAUAGGAUUCUAAGUUCCAUCAGGAAAUGAAUGUCUUGUUCUUUUACUCUCCUGCUUGUAUGGUUUCUCUUCCAUCUCUGAAAACUUUAUUUGGAUGUAAACCGCAAUAUCUCUGUCUUGUGGUCUUCCUAAGUAUUGUGCCCAAGUGAUAUUUUGUAGACUCGACAACAUGCAUUCAGGAACAGUACUCGGUUGAUUCCAGGAAAGCAUAUCAACAUUCUCAUAAUUCUGAGAUUAAGGAGAAGAAUCAGAUUGAAAAUAAAAAAAAAAAAUCAUGUGCAAUAGAUAAAAAAUAAUAGUUAAUAGAAGGAACCUUACAUCGGUUUGGGAGGAGAGUAUUAGUUCUCGUAAGUUAGGAGUGUCUUUGAGGAACUGGACAAGGAGAUGCGAUGAAUACUCUUUCCAUACAUAUAUCGUCAGAUGCUCAAGGUGGUUGAAGAUAAAACCGUCACCAUUCGCAACCUGCGGACGAUAAAAAAAAUAAAUUAACAGAGACUUUUAUAAAUAAGAUUAACGACUUGAAGUUUAGAGAUUGAAACUGAUUACCUUAGAGCAUAUUGUAAGCUUCUUGACAGAUGUGAUUGAUCCUAGGAGACUCUUGAUAUCAGCGAAUGUAACAUCGACAUAUGCUUCCGUCAGCUUAGGCAUAUUCGCAAUCAAAAAAGGGUGACUAUCAUAAUUAAGAUCCACAAGUUUGAUAAUACUCUAAAGAAGGAGUAUCUAUGACAAACUCAUCUAAAUCACAAUGAUAACCUAUAUAGAGUGAUAAACAUCGCAAAGAUGGGACAAUAACAGUGAACUUUCCCAUAAUGUCAUGACGAUGAAGUAAAUGCACAACUAGAUUUUCAAGAACAGGGCAAGUAGAUAGAAGCCGCUGAAGAUAUCCUUCUUUGAAGUAGCACCCACCUUUGAGUACCAAAGUUUUCAAAGAGGGAAGACAAACCAUUCGAGGAACAUCCAAGAGAAUCCUGCCAUCGAGUUUCAAGAACACGAGCGACUUGCAGGUAUACAAGCUACUUGGCAAUAUGUUUUGCUUCUCCUGAUGACGAGAAAUAUAAAUCUUCAGCUCACGUACAUAGCGAGAAAGAACUACUACAACCCACAUUCUGAUAUCUUCAGGUUUCAAUACUGACUCACUUAGCUUAAGACGGAAGCUUUCUAUAACCGGAGCUCUAUGUAACGGCAGAUUUCUAUUAAGAAAACACUGUAAACUCUUGCAUUCAGGUUCUGAAUAAUAUCUAUCACAGUAAUCAAGUUUUGU